GUGCUUGCUUCGGCAGCACGUAUACUAAAAUUGGAAUGAUGUAGAGAAGAUUAGCAUGGCUCCUGUGCAAGGAUGACACGCAAAUUUGUGAAGCAUUCCAUAUUUUU